UACGUAGGGUGCGAGCGUUGUCCGGAAUUAUUGGGCGUAAAGAGCUCGUAGGCGGUUCGUCGCGUCGGCUGUGAAAACCCGGAGCUCAACUCCGGGCCUGCAGUCGAUACGGGCGGACUUGAGUGUUGCAGGGGAGACUGGAAUUCCUGGUGUAGCGGUGAAAUGCGCAGAUAUCAGGAGGAACACCGGUGGCGAAGGCGGGUCUCUGGGCCGAUACUGACGCUGAGGAGCGAAAGCGUGGGGAGCGAACAGG
rnacentral:rRNA from 1 species